rnacentral:rRNA from 1 species
GACGAACGCUGGCGGCGUGCUUAACACAUGCAAGUCGAACGGAAAGGCCCUGCUUUUGUGGGGUGCUCGGGUGGCGAACGGGUGAGUAACACGUGAGUAACCUGCCCUUGACUUUGGGAUAACUUCAGGAAACUGGGGCUAAUACCGGAUAGGAGCUCCUGCUGCAUGGUGGGGGUUGGAAAGUUUCGGCGGUUGGGGAUGGACUCGCGGCUUAUCAGCUUGUUGGUGGGGUAGUGGCUUACCAAGGCUUUGACGGGUAGCCGGCCUGAGAGGGUGACCGGCCACAUUGGGACUGAGAUACGGCCCAGACUCCUACGGGAGGCAGCAGUGGGGAAUAUUGCACAAUGGGCGGAAGCCGGAUGCAGCAACGCCGCGUGCGGGAUGACGGCCUUCGGGUUGUAAACCGCUUUCGCCUGUGACGAAGCGUGAGUGACGGUAAUGGGUAAAGAAGCACCGGCUAACUACGUG